rnacentral:lncRNA from 1 species
CUUCUUGUGUCUUUGGAUGAAACUCUGAUCAUCCCUACAGCAACCUGCAGGGAACUUGGAGGGAGGAGCACAGGCUGCAGAAGCAUAUAAGGUAAAGAAGUUCAACAACCCAAAGACUCUCUGCCCCCACCAUGCAACUGGAAAGAAACACACUGAGGAGAGAAGGCCUAGAAUUGAGACUGAUGUCCCGCAUUAAUGGACAUUGUCCAUGGAGGCCACCUUCACCACCUGAGAGCAGGAGGAAAUACUACUGAGUUUCUCAGAGCAGGAGGGACACUGAUCAGCCUGAUGAAAAUACUAGGAAGGAGUGAAGAAGUAUGUGGAAAUUAUGGCUUCACAUUUGCUAAAGCUGUUGCAGGUCAAUGCUUUGUCCUGGGAGAAAGAAGGGCAGAUAGAGAAGAACAAAGCAUCAGAACUUCCAGAGUCAGGUACUGUCUCUUUAAUUCUGAUAAAGUGGAGUCCCCCAAGGAUGAGUCCAAGAGGGCCCUAAAUGGCAAAAUGCUUCUGGCUUAUAGAUCAGUUAAGUGGCAAAGAUGGAAAGUAUGAAAAGAAGAAGAUUGCUGUGGAGGUGGAAACAAUAAGACCAUUAUGGCCUUUCAGAAAUACAAACAGAAAGUACGUAGCCACUAGUGGAACCAUGUACAACAUAAUUUGUUUAUAUAAAGUGUCCUUCAUCCUCUUCAGCACUACAUGAACCUCCAGAUGCAGCAAAUCCUGGAAUCAAUCUCUCUCUCACACACACACACACACACACACACACACACACACACACACACACACACACAACAAUA